GGUAGGUUAAACGGUGUUUUUGUACUGACUUUUAAUCAAGUUGUCCCGGGUUCGAGUCCCGGGUGUCUCA
rnacentral:tRNA from 1 species